GUGCUCAUUUCAGCAGCACAUAUGCUGAAAUUGGAACGAUACAGAGAAGAUUAGCAUGGCCCCUGUGCAAGGAUGACAUGCAAAUUCAUGAAGGCUGGUGGCUCUGA